AGGUCGUGACUUGUGCCCGUUUG
rnacentral:miRNA from 1 species